rnacentral:rRNA from 1 species
ACUCAAAUGAAUAGACGGGGGCCCGCACAAGCAGCGGAGCGUGUGGUUUAAUUCGAGGCUACACGAAGAACCUUACCUGGGUUUGACAUCUGGCUAGUACCGAGCUGAAAGGCGAGGGACCGCAAGGAGGCCAGACAGGUGCUGCAUGGCUGUCGUCAGCUCGUGCCGUGAGGUGUUAGGUUAAGUCCUGUAACGAGCGCAACCCCCAGAGCUAGUUAAAUCGUCUAGUUCGACUGCCCGCGACAAGCGGGAGGAAGGCGGGGAUGACGUCAAGUCAGCAUGGCCUUUAUAUCCAGGGCUACACACACGCUACAAUGGUCGGUACAAUGGGUCGCCAACCCGCAAGGGGGAGCCAAUCCUAUCAAAGCCGGCCUCAGUUCAGAUUGUGGGCUGCAACCCGCCCACAUGAAGUUGGAGUUGCUAGUAACCGCGCGUCAGCCAUAGUGCGGUGAAUACGUUCCCGGGCCUUGCACACACCGCCCGU